rnacentral:tRNA from 1 species
GCCCGGAUAGCUCAGUCGGUAGAGCAGAGGAUUGAAAAUCCUCGUGUCGGUGGUUCGAGUCCGCCUCCGGGCACCA